CUCAUUUUUCUACUGCUCUUGGUAAGUGACUCUGUGGGCUUUAUAGCUGUUACUCUUUUGUGGUUUGUCUUUUUCUUUUAUUUUCUUUUGAGCGAUUGUGCGAACAUAGCAUAGCACGCACUAUGCCUUCUGUGUUGUAGCUGUCUGGCCAGGGUGACUGGCGGAUAAGGUCUUGUGCGUGGCCUCGAGGCUUAAAAGUAGCAGCGGUGCUUUGUGAAGGACAAAAUGGCGAUGGCGGGCCGUGCAGGUCCCCCUUCCUAUGAUGAGGACCUUUUCACAGACCUGUACUGAGCUCCGUGAGGAUAAGUACCUCUGAGGAGAUGGGUCCUGCAAGCCUCCUGCUUAGCUGUCUGUUCAGAAAAUAGUGUUUUCGAAAUAACCUGUGUUGACCUAAUGUCUUAUUUGGCUCCUGUCUGCAGGGUUUACGCGCACGUUGGAAUCGAAGAGAGCUCUGUUGUUGCAGUAAGUUCUUACGGCCAUUUCUUAAUCUCUGCUCUUUCGUUGAGUGUGUGGAAGUUGCUACGGGGAUGAUUUUACGAACUGAACUCUCUCUUUCUGAUGGAUUAGUGGAGAAAACACAAAAAAUUCUGAGUAGCACUGUACUGUACGCAACAAAUGUCAGGGCCCUAUUGAUUUGUCUGAGGUGUUAGUGAAGGGUGUUAUUUUUUUCAGAUGUUCAGCCCACAAGAGCUUACAGGUGAAGGAAUGGGACAAGACCCAUCUUUAUGCAAAGCCAGCGUUACAGUAAUGUUCCAGGUAGGUGUACAUGGUUUAUGCACUUAUAGAGGAGACCUUGCUAGAUAACCACUCCAUGAUGAACACAAAAUGACAAGCAUAUGGCUGAACUUAUCAAGUGAUGUCAUCUUACUACUGAGAAGUGAGAGAGAGGUCUUAAGGGGUCUUUGAAUGACUAUUUUUAGGUACAUAAAAUGACUUCCUCUGUUUUCUACAGCAUCUCAUAAUCUAUCCUGAGGAAUUCAGCUGCCUCCCAGGGUGAAUACAGGUAUUUCUGAUGACAGUCUGCCUCUAUCUUACAGAGCAGCUUGUUGCUAUAUACCAUUGAAAAGCCUUCAGAGCUAAGAGGUUAGUUGAUAUUUUUUGUUCCUUACAGCUCAUGCCACCAAGUAGGCAGUUUCUAUGAUGAAUCAAACUAGCUCACUAUGACUGACAGUGAAAAUACAUGAACACCUGAGAAACUGGAGAACGCAGGGAGUGGGGGGUAACCAUGUCUGAGGAAUCUUUCACCCACAGCUUUGUUUUUCUCUAGGUACUACUAACCAAUAACCUGCUUGGCUCAAAGGGCCAGCACCUUCUCUCUAAAGCCCAAGAGGAGUUUGAGGUAAAUGGCUUUGCAAUAGUUACCGUCAAUAACUGCUAUAUAAAAUUUUCUGUGAUUUUUGUGUGUGAUAGCACUGUGGUCUGGGUGAAUGUAUACAGACAUAACUGGCUUAACCCAAAGUCUUUGAUCUCCUGAACCACCAGUUAUGAAUUGCUGCUCACCAGUGAUGAGUUGAAUACCGCCCCAGUCUGAUCAAUGUGUGACUGAAAGGUAUUUUCUGAGCUGUGAGCCUGCCUUCCAGCGACAUGUUCUAAAAAUUGCAAGUUAUUUGAGGAGGCUUUACAGCCAAUAGGAAGUUCUUGGGCUAAGUAGCAUUUCCUAUAAAAUGUGCCCUGAAACUUCUUUCUGCCAAGCAACAGAUAUAAUUGAGAGAUUGUAAAAUGUGUUGUAGAAUGAAAGUCUCUCAAGACUACAUUUUUUUUUGUUGAUUUUGCAGGAAAACUAGGUGUCUCUGUUCACUCCAGGCUGAAGUUACAGGUGAGUAAACCUAAAUGUAAGGUGGACUAUGCUAAAAAUUCCCAAUGAAGAAACUUUCACAUGUCUUACUCUCUGUCCUAGUCCCAGAGCCUGUAAAGGUGAACCCACUGGGACUGGCUGGGGGAGAAGAGGAAGAUUUGUUCCAGAAGGAACUGUCUGAGGGAUGAUAAAGAUUUCUAUACAGAGAAAGGGAGUAAUCAUCACUUGUUGAAAACAUUAGUUUUAUUUUUUCCAGGUUUGAGGAAAGGUGUAUAAAAAAUGGAAUCUGUCUUGGAGGACAUCAGAAGUUGAAUUUUCCAAGUCCUUGGACAACCUAGCUGUUGAAAAGCUUUCUGGAUUUGGGGGGUCUUUCAGAUGUACCUUAAAGUGUUAGCAGACACAGAUUAAGACACUGGGAGCCAAUGAAACAUAGCAGUUGAGGGUUUGCUAUGUAUCACAUUUCUGUAUUUUAUCACCUCCUUCCUGCAACAUUAUUUCUGUGGAAUCUACCUGCCCUUUUGUUUUUUAGAUACAAGGGCUUGGUUUUGUUACCAAGGCUGGUUUCAAGGCCCUAGCUUUAAGAGAUCCUCCCACCACAGAUUUCCAAAGUGCUGGGAUUGCAGGUAUGAUUAGUGGCACCCAGACUUUGCUGCCUUUCUUACAUGAUCAAGGCCCGGAACCCAAACUCAGGCACUGCAUAGAUGACCAGUUUGGUAAACUACUGACCUAGCUUGUUGCCAAUUGUGAUUGAGCUUCCCAUAACUCCACUUCGUUUCUGUUUCUCUGUAUACAGACACCUUCUAUUCCCAUCAUGAGCCUUUAGGUCUCCAUUUGCAUAUUGCAAAUACUAUGUUCCGUGUAGGUAGCUCAUUCAGUGCCUUGCUCUUCACUUCAAAAAAGGUUCCCUUGAGGACUGGCUGUCAAUUUGUGUUGCUGUGUUGGUUAAUGAAAAUAAUAAAAUGAUUGAUUACAU
rnacentral:sRNA from 1 species